UACAGAGGUCCCGAGCGUUGUUCGGAUUCACUGGGCGUAAAGGGCUCGUAGGCGGCCAACUAAGUCGGACGUGAAAUCCCCAGGCUCAACCUGGGAACUGCGUCUGAUACUGGAUGGCUUGAAUCCGGGAGAGGGAUGCAGAAUUCCAGGUGUAGCGGUGAAAUGCGUAGAUAUCUGGAGGAAUACCGGUGGCGAAGGCGGCAUCCUGGACCGGCAUUGACGCUGAGGAGCGAAAGCCAGGGGAGCAAACGGG
rnacentral:rRNA from 1 species